UCGAGAAUCUUCGGCAAUGGGCGCAAGCCUGACCGAGCGACGCCGCGUGCGGGAUGAAGGCCUUCGGGUUGUAAACCGCUGUCGAGGGGAAUGAAGUGCAGGUGGGUACUCCCAUCUGUUUGACAGAUCCCUGGAGGAAGCAUGGGCUAAGUUCGUGCCAGCAGCCGCGGUAAGACGAACCAUGCAAACGUUAUUCGGAUUCACUGGGCUUAAAGCGUGCGUAGGCGGUCUUGUUAGUCAGGUGUGAAAGCCCUCAGCCUAACUGAGGAAUUGCGCUUGAUACUGCAUGACUAGAGAGAGAUAGAGGUGGGUGGAACUGAUGGUGGAGCGGUGAAAUGCGUUGAUAUCAUCAGGAACACCAGUGGCGAAGGCGACCCACUGGGUCUCUUCUGACGCUGAGGUACGAAAGCUAGGGUAGCGAACGGGAUUAGAUACCCCCGUAGUCC
rnacentral:rRNA from 1 species